GGCGGUGUGACCGUGUAGCGCUGAGGCAGACGACGAAAAUGAGAAUCUCCGCCUCUCUCUCUCUUCUCUCUCUCUCCCUUCUCUCUCUCUCGUUCCCGACAUGACACAGGAGGGUACUGUCGAGUGGAUUAUUUCUAUGCUUCUUGUUGUUCCGAAAGGACGCCUCUGACCGUCUUGGACAUGUGACCACCGGAUAGCUCAACCCUCAUUGGCCUCAUCCCCUGUCCCACAUCCUUGCCAGCGAUCGUCCAAUUGUUGCUGCGUCUGCUGAAAUGACGUAUUUAUGAACUUUGUGUUUAAUACACUCGUGGUAUUGGUCUUUCUGUCUCCAUCGUUCCACAUGCAACUGAGGGAAGGACACCAUCCUCCUCACAUUCUCCUUACAAAUUAUGCUUACAACAGAAAUCAUGGGACACAUUUGUGUUAACCGUUGUUCUCAACUGAACAUUUUAUUUUCGAGGAUAUCAGAGGACUACACAGUAAUAAAAAAAACGGCCCUGUGCGUCUGAUGAGCAUGUAAUCCCCAUGACCUGAAAUGUGUCGAUGGAAGUGUAAAAAGUGUUCUUUCACGAUGAGCAUGUUUGGUUCAUCGGGAAUGCAGGACUCGUGUUUUUAAAAGUUCAGUACCAAGUACUUUGUAGAAUUCUACGAUCAGGGCACUACCCAGGGAAUUAUUAGCUGAGUUUCACGAUGAAUACCAUGACCAGUGCUUGUCAACCUCUUUAUAGACAACGCCCACUUUUGUUCACUUUAAGCGACUAACAUUUUCGUACCGCUUACGUAUGUGUAUUUCCAAGCGGGUCAUUAAAUAAUACAUGGCGAUCCCCACCACACACCAAAAUUACCAAAAUCGCCCACAAGUGGGCAAAACUGUCCUAGUUGGCAAGCACUGAUAAAGACAUAUGAUGAUUAUGUAUUCAUUAUUGGCAGUUCGACAGCUUUCAUGGGCGCCAACAGCUCUAACCUUUUCCUCGGGGAGAUACGUUUAGUGAGCUGAAUAGUGUCAAAAUAUUCCCGGAGCCAUGAGUGACAAACGAGAGCCAUAGAGAUGGCGACGACAUUAAUUUAUGUGGUUUUGUUCUAAUCACGGUCUGACCUCUUUGUGUGUACAUGUCCACAACUGCGCAAGGAACAUCGAUGUUUCACUUUUGUUCAAUACUAACAAUACAGUGUCAUGUCAUUUUGCUCUCUGGUUGAGGAUGGUACUGAAAAGAGAACCUGAAGAAGAUUUUUUUAAGGAGCAGGGAGGGGAUUUUGGGAAAUCCAAAUCUUUCAACCUAAUCUAAGUUGUGUGCAAUGAAAAUAUUUGAGAGUUCUCAGUAUUGCAAAUCUCAAAGUUUGUUAUAAUAAUAUAGUGGAAUAACGAGAAGGAUAUCAUGCUGUUGAAUAUUGCCGGAACUGCCACAAGUGUUGGUCUUGGCUGUGCAAAGGGGUGGGUGCAGACGGGAGUAGAAGGAAGCUCUGAAGACCGGGGACUACAAUACCUGUCUGGGCCGGAGUGUGCGCGAGUGACUACAUCAGCAAUAUUGAUAGAGAAGGUGAGGAGAGACAGAUGAAAAGAGAGGAAGGAAAUGGCGAGAGCAUCGGCUCCGCACGUUCCAGCUACCGGCCGACAGACAGACGAGGGCCAGCAAUCACCGUGCGCACCGAUGAGUCAUCGCUAUUGAUUGGUUGUUGAGCCGGACGCGCCCCCCACGUGACCAAGACUAGAGGGGGAGAGGGACCAAUCAGCGGCCGAUGCUGACUUCGCUUCCGAUGCUCGCCACUGAGGCACGAGGAGAACUCGUCUCAUCUCCCUCCUCUUCCCUCUCCUGCCUCCCUUUCCCCUCCCCACCCCUCCCCUUCCUCUGUUCACUACGGUCGUCGGAUCCGUCGAUAAUGCUUUCACCUGCAUCAAAGUGAGGGUCGGGAGAAAGACUACACACCUGUCGAGUCGUUUUCUCUGUCAUCGCUCCUGGUCUCUACAUGGCCUGUGACCGCCAACUUUCAUCUGGUGCUAUGUUGGAAGUGUGUCUCUGAACUCUAUUCUGGUUUACCCAUAUCUAUUUUUUUUUUUUCGAAUAUUAUGAUAACAAUUAGGAGAAAGCUUUUUCCAGCUCCUCAUUCAUUGAAAAGCUAUUUUUAUUUUCGACCUGCUAUGAAAAAGAGGGUAAUUUGUAAACGUGUAGUUUGUGUAAUUUUCUCAUAUAAUAAUAGCGUGUAUAAUUAA
rnacentral:lncRNA from 1 species